ACAGGAAUAUGGCAGAGAUGUCAUAGCCGCAAGGUCUGUAUACAGUUGGUGCAUGGUUGUCGUCAGCUCGGGUCGUGAGAUGUUGGGUUAAGUCCCGCAACGAGCGCAACCCUCGUUCUGUGUUGCCAGCAUUAAGUUGGGGACUCACAGGAGACUGCCGGGGUUAACUCGGAGGAAGGUGGGGAUGACGUCAAAUCAUCAUGCCCCUUAUGUCUUGGGCUGCACGCAUGCUACAAUGGCUGGUACAAACGGCUGCGAUACCGCAAGGUGGAGCGAAUCCGAUAAAGCCAGUCUCAGUUCGGAUUGGGGUCUGCAACUCGACCCCAUGAAGUCGGAGUUGCUAGUAAUCGUAGAUCAGCAACGCUACGGUGAAUACGUUCCCGGGGCUUGUACACACCGCCCGUCACGUCACGAAAUCGGUAACACCC
rnacentral:rRNA from 1 species